UACGUAGGCAGCGAGCGUUGUUCGGAUUUACUGGGCGUAAAGGGUGCGUAGGCGGUUGUUUAAGUUUGGUGUGAAAUCUCCCGGCUCAACUGGGAGGGUGCGCCGAAUACUGAAUGACUAGAGUGCGGGAGAGGAUAGUGGAAUUCCUGGUGUAGCGGUGAAAUGCGUAGAGAUCGGAAGGAACACCAGUGGCGAAGGCGGCUACCUGGCCUGAUACUGACACUGAGGCACGAAAGCGUGGGGAGCAAACAGG
rnacentral:rRNA from 1 species